rnacentral:lncRNA from 10 species
CCUGGCCAAGAGGAUCCCCAGCACGCCGGCCAGGUACGCCAGACCUUACUAAAAAGUCAAUAUUCCUACCCAACUGGAUCAAGAUUGUAGAACACAAGGAUGCAUCCUUAACCUUAUAAAAAUGCCUUGGAAUUUUUAAUGAGCAGAAGUGGUCAGAACCUCAGUCAUACGUCUCAUCCAAUAGAUGGUUCUCCUGUAGCUCAGUGCUCCAUAACCCAGGCUGAAGUUGGCUCAGCACCACCCUGGGAUGGAAGAGGGCCACCUACUGAAUCACCGCCACCACAUCCUGCAGCAUCCUCCAUCCAAGUCUUUCCUGGGCCCACCCCUGCUGAACUCCCAAGGUCAGAAGAGAUCACAGCUUUAGAGCAUUUCAUUACAAAUUUUAAAUUUCCAGUCUCUGGUUUUCAUAUUGCAUUUCAAGAUCAACAUCCUUAUUAGUAGUCGUAUAUUUUUUAUUUUGAAAUUUUAUAACACCUUGUCCACUGGGAAAUUCCAAGCAGGCUACUGAACCUCGUUACCACACAGGCAGAAAUCCGCAUAACACCCCUGUGAAGGAGGUGUUAAAUGACAGAGAGAGAGAGGGAGCGCACACCAUCACCUACUCUUACAAAAGUCCAAUCCUUAAUAAUUAAUGAAUGAAAAGACAUCUUGAGUCCAGUGGUCACUGGGAGUAAUUGGCGUAUAUUUUCUCAGCUGCCUCUAAAUGAAAAUGGCAAUAAUUUAACCAAUAUAUUUGGGCCGACAGCUAGGCUAAAUUCAGUUCUCUUUUGCACCCAAGCAGUAGAACUAAGUGGGAUCUGAACAGACUACUCUCUGUUACCACCUGAUUGUGGAAAACUCACAUGUGGUGCUCAGCAACUGAGUAUUUCAAGUCCUGCUCACAUUUACAAUGUCUUUUUCUAUCCUCGGUUAAAAGGUCCUGAAAAUUGGGAGGACACAAGGUUACAUUUGUUUUAUACCUUUUCUCUGUCCUCAAUCCUUCCUUAUGUAAAAACUUCUGGUGUUUAAAUGAUAAUAUAAGAGGUUACUUCGAGUGAUAAAAUCAAGAGUCCAGCUAUCAAGAUGAAAUUACAUAACAUAAAUGUAUAGUUCAUAGUAUAGAUUGGUGGUUAUCAGCCUCAUAUUGAAUGCCUCCUUUUAUAACAAAUAUUUUAUAAUAUCACUGUAGCAGAUGCUAUCGGUUCCCUUCCUGUAUUCCCUAGGCCAUACACACCAGUGACAUCCUAUUUCUGGUCUCUGCUCAGGGCCUUCUGGCUGCUGAGAGUACUUGGCUCACACACAUUGUGGCAGUCCAGAAGAUGAUAGAUAGCCUGACAGAAUAUAAAAUGACCUCAUACAGCUUCAGACAAUUGGGAGGAGAGGGUGCUUGGGGCAGAUCUUUCACCUAGGAACACAGCGUUUCACUAUACCCAAAACUUUGGAUGUUGCCUAAACAUAUUGGGCAUCACGUGCCAGUAGACUAGCAAGCAAAGGAGUUACUAUACUGAUUUUCAUGACCAGAUAGGGUUACUGCUGCACAAUCAAGAUAGGGAAAAUAUGACUGAAACUCAGAUAAUUCAUGGAGGUGCCCUACUGUGGUUUGGAUCUAUGUCCCCACCCAAAUCUCAUGUCAAACUGUAAUCAUCAGUGUUGGAGAUGGGGCCUGGUGGGACGUGAUGGAUCAUGGGGUCAGAUCCUUCAUAAAUAGUUUAUCACCAUCUGUUCUCCUGAUAGAGUUCUCAUGAGAUCUGGUUACUUAAACGUGUGUAGCACCUCCCCUCACUCUGUCUUGCUCCUGCUUCCACCGUGUGAGAUGCCUCACUCCCCCUGUGCCUUCUGCCAUGAUUGGAAGCUUCCUAAGGCCUCCCCAGAAGUAAAAGCUGCUCUGCUUCUUGUACAGUCUGCAAAACCAUGAGCCAAUUAAACCUCUCUUCUUUAUAAAUGUCCCAGUCCCAAGUAUUUCUUUAAAGCAAUGUGAGGACAGACUAAUACAUACCCCUUGGUGCUUCCAUCCCAAGGAAUAAUCUGAUAAGAACAGGGCAAGUUAGAAUCCAGAGGUUUCAUGGAUCUAGGUCUGUGUUACCCAACUAGGCCAAUGACUUAGGCCAAUAGAAGUCCUGGCUGAGAGUAAAGGUGAAGAGACUCUAGAGUGGGGGCAGAAGAGGAAGCUGAGAAAUAUCACCUAUAGGCGAUAUUUCUAUUUGUCUUAGAAAUUGUGUGUGUGUGUGUGUGUGCGUGUGAGUGUGUGUGUGUGUGAAGUGGGUGGGGACUGGGUAUCCCUUUGUAGAAUGAGUAACAGAGCAGAUUAACUUAAAGCAGGGCGUGAAUGGAUCUGGAUGAUCCAGCAGGUGGACUGUAGCGGAUGACGGUAGUGCUCCCAUCAUCAGCCCUCACUUUCCCUGUAAAUGCCUACAACCCUUUCUGCAAACACUUGUGCCUCCUUGUCUACAGGGAGCUUCUAAGGAAGCUCCCAGACCCCAGUAAUGCAAAGUAAAGUGACAUAGUGCUUAUGUAAGUCUGGAACAGCUUUUACUUUAAAAACUGUGCUCCUUGUCUUGUGCAUAAGAACACUGUACACUUGUAUACCUCUCUGUGUGCUUCAGAACCUCUCUGUGACCCAUCAGUCUACACAACACUGCAUAUCCCAGUCUCCAACCAGUGGUUUUUGGCUCCUUCCUCACUGGAGUGCUCCAUUCAAUAAAAUGUCUUAUCUACUGUCU